rnacentral:rRNA from 1 species
UACGUGAAACCGUUCAGGGGUAAACCUGAGAAACCCGAAAGGUCGAAGGGGGACAUUCAACCGCGUCCGGUCGACGGCGAGAGGCGGUCUCGCGACGGGGAUCCCUUCGGGGUGAACCGCGCGGGCCGUCGACGUCCGACCCCGGACACGUGCACUUGUCCCCUUGUAGGACGUCGCGACCCGUUGGGUGUCGGUCUACGGCCCUCGGUGGAGCCCGCGCGGAGGUCUCCUCCGUUCGGACCCGAGGUGUCCCGGCCGGCUCGCCCGACGGUAUACCGAUGGCGCGGGGCCGCGGCUCGAACGCGUCCGACCCGUCGCAAGUGCGGACGGCAACCCGGCAGUCGGACCUGGUCCGGCUCCGGGCCCGCCCGGCUGCUAGCGGCGGCGCUCUCGGACAGACUCCGUGCACGCCCGUCGGCGACGCUAUAGCUUUGGGUACUUUCAGGACCCGUCUUGAAACACGGACCAAGGAGUCUAGCAUGUGCGCGAGUCAUUGGGAUUGACUAAACCUAAAGGCGCAAUGAAAGUGAAGGCCCGCCUUGCGCGGGCCGAGGGAGGAUGGGCCGCGUCACGAUGCGGCCCCGCACUCCCGGGGCGUCUCGUUCUCAUUGCGAGAUGAGGCGCACCCAGAGCGUACACGCUGGGACCCGAAAGAUGGUGAACUAUGCCUGGUCAGGACGAAGUCAGGGGAAACCCUGAUGGAGGUCCGUAGCGA